CUGUUCUUUAGGCUGACUCCUGACCUUUAAUUUUAUCACCCUGUUGUUCACGCGGUCUCCUGACUUUCAAUUUUAUCACCCUAUUCUUUAGGCGGGCUCCUGAAUUUCAAUUUCAUCACCCUGUUCUUCAGGCGGGCUCCUAACUUUCAAUUUUAUCACCCUAUUCUUCAGGCGAACUCCUGAAACCAAAAUCAAAGCUAAAACGAAAAUUAUCCCAAACGAAGAUUAUGAUAAAGAAAGAUUUCAUUCAUUCAUUUUUGUUAAAAGUAAUGUCUCAUUUUUCAGGAGGGUCAUGAACAUAAAGUAUAAUUCCAUUUUUCAGGAGGGGCCUGAACAUAAAAUAAAAUCCCAUUUUCUAGGAGAGUCCUGAAUAGAAAAUAAAAUCUCAUUUUCUAGGAGGGUCCUGGACAUAAAGUAAAUUCUCAUUUUUUAGGAGGUCCUAAACAAAAAGUAAAAUUCUAUUUUUCAGAAGGGUCCUGAACAGAAAGUAAAUUCCCAUUUUCUAGGAGGGUCCUGAACAUAAAUUAAAUUUUAAUUUUCCAGGAGGUUCCUAAACAGAAAGUAAAAUUCCCAUUUUCUAGGAGGGUCCUGAACAGAAAGUAAAAUCCCAUUUUUCAGGAGGGUCCUGAGCAGAAAGUAAAUUCACACUUUUUAGGAGGGUACUGAACAGAAAAUAAAAUCCCAUUUUUUAGGAGGAUUCUGAACAGAAAGUAAAUUUCCAUUUUCCAAGAAGGUCCUGAACAUAAAGUAAAUUCCCAUUUUCCAGGAGGGUCCUGAGAAAAAAGUAAAAUCUCAUUUUUCAAGAGGGUCUUGACCAGAACGUAAAUUCCUAUUUUUCAGGAGGGUCCUGAACAGAAAGUAAAUUCCUAUUUUUUAGGAGGGUCCUAAACAGAAAGUAAAAUUCUCAUUUUUCAGGAGGGUCCUGAAUAGAAAAUAAAUUUCAUGGAUGUGCAUUUCCAAUGGUAGCUGAAUUAAGUGAAGCAAAUUUACCCCUGUUUCAAUAAACAAAAAUUGUCAGUUAAAAAUAUAGUGGUGGCUUGCAACACUUGGCUGUCCCGACACCUGCUCUAGUGUCCAUUUCCUUUAUUUUGUUUUGGAUUGUUGGCACUUGCCUCUGCUUUGUCACGUCAUUGAUCCAAACUAAGAUUAUUAAGAGUGACUUUGAAAUAAACACAGUAUCUCUGCUUUGCUAUGCGUCUCAGAUAAACCCUUUAAACCUUGGUAUUUUCAUGAAUUCCCAGAUUUGUCUGUUGAUAAAGCUUUCUGUAUGCCCUUUUUGGGCUCACAAUUAUGUCUCUUUCAUGCGCUGCCCUUUCUGUCUUGCUUUGUACAAUUGAAGAAGUUGGCAGCCAGUUUUGAAAUCUUUUCUCACUUGUUUUGACAUGGACUUGACUCAAAGACAAGAGAAAAAUAACAACAAUUUUUGCUUUAUUUGGAUAACUGGCUCAAGAAAAUAAAAAUAUAACUAACGAUAAGAAAAAAAAUGAAAAUGAAUGUACCCAUUGAAAAAGAUGAAAGAAAAUUUUAUCUGAAAAUGACAGUCAACUCUAAUGAUUAUGACAUACAUAUCGGAUUAGACUGCUUGAUCUUUUCAUCCAAAACUUUCUACCUAUUGUUGUUGAGUGAAUGACCUCAAAAUUGAGUUGCUUCCUUAGGUCAAUUGCAUUCAAGAUCUCAUUCGGUUAGUGGCCCCUUGAAUGGUUUUUGCCAACAUGCCUCUCUCAUUUUUCUUUUCUCAGCUUACCAUUGUCUUAUGGUGUCCGUGAGAGUUUUUCAAUAAUGAGACUCUCUUGUUUUCAUUUGCCUCAACUCACCGUUGCCUUACAGUACCCGUGAGGGUUUUCACCAAUAAAACUCUCUCAUUUUUAUUUCUCUCAACUUACCAUUCGUCUCACGAUGCCCGUGAGGAUUUUCACUAAUAAGACUCUCUUAUUUUUAUUUCUCUCUUGAUUUCUUAUGAUGAGGAAGACAAGUAGUUCCCAAAAUGCAUCAUCACAUCCAUUGCAUGGUUAGCUUUAGCAUUCUCAAAGAUUGAUCUAAAGGUCUUUCUUUGGUUGUAACUUGGCUUUUGGAUAGGGUUAGAAAGAAACGAUACGUGAAGUGAGGUAAGACUUACAACUUUUGGAAUCGACUCAAACAAUGAGAAUUGACUCAUGCCCCAGUUUCUUUUGACUGGGCAAUUCUAAAUUAUUUAUUUGGUUGGACCGAGCCUCGAAUAGGCCAGCCUACGUAUCUAACCCCCAAAAGAGGAGAACCAGGUCUCGCGUAGUUCUGGCAGGUUGUUUUGCAUGAUUUAGACUUUUCAUUCUUUUUCUUUUAUUGACAGUCUUUUCUCUUUGUAUUUUACUGACUCUAUUUGUCUUGGAACUUUUUUUUUCUUUUUGGACAUAUAUUUUUUUACUCUAUUUUGAUUCCAAACGAUGGAUAUGAAAAAAAAUAUGACUAAAGCUCAAAUGGGGUAAACAAAGGAUGAAAUGAUGUUUGGAUAGCAGAAUGAAAUGUUUUCGUCCUAUCAAUCCUUGAAAAUGCAAGUACAUAUCAUGCAAUAUGAAAGUGCAUAAUCAAUAUCACUUAUGACAUGUUUUACGACACUAACUUGCCCCGAACAUAUGUACCACCUCUUCUUCUUCACUUGAUGAACAUACAACUUUAUCUUUGUUGUACAUCCCUCACAUUGAAUGACUCAUGCUUUCGUGGAUUUAAUUUUUCUGUACCUCGGGGUCACACAUCCGUUAUUUGACCAAAUUGAGCAAUGUUUUUCAAUUGAUGACCAAGUUAUACUUGUGAUUCUCAAAAUAAUUGCCUUAACUUUCAAAGAAGGCUUGAACUUGAUCACCAAAUGCCUCAGCACUCUACCUAUUUUCUCAAAUGCUCUCUUUUCCUAACUUUAACUCUCUGAUUCAAUGUUCAUGCUUAAACUGGAUUUUAAGAUCUGGCUAAAAAUUCCGUUAGCAUGUCAUAUCACUAGAGUCAACAUAAAAUGUACUGUAGAAAAAAAACAAAGAAACACAUAUUUAAAAUACAAAGGAAAAAGGGACACUCUAUUUAAUUAAAAUGAAAGAUAGAAGGGUUUGAACAUAACGACAAAAUGGUAAAAACAAGAUAGAUCCUGAACUACUACCCUAAAAUAAUUCAAAUAAAAGAAAAGAAAAUAAAACAAAACAAACUACCAGACCUCUUCCUAAGAGGGAGAGGGGUGACUUCUUAAUUGCUCAUCCUGACAUCUUAGCCACUGGUUUGCAUAUCAGCAUGACUAAAGCUUUCCUCAUUAUCAAUGUUCUGCACCAUAAUUGAUCUAUCUUGAAUCAUCUUUUCAAUUUCUCUUUUCAAAGCCCAACAAUCUUCAAUACUGUGACCCUGAACAUCAGAAUGAUAUGCACAUCUUACACUAGGGUCAAAACCUCUUGAAUGCGGGUCAGGAGUAUACCCAAAGAGAGGAGUGAUCAUACCCCUUUGUACCAAUUUCUGAAAUAAGCUGUCAUACGACUCUCCAUUUGGUGUGAAUUUAUCCCUCAAUUUCUGCCUCAUUUCAUUAUUUGUAUUGGAUCCAAAAUUGGGCCUAUAAAGGCUUUGAUAGAUUUGUGGAGUCGGAGGGUAACUCUGAGGAAUUAGUACGUGCCAUUGUGAGUAAGAAGGGAGUUGAACAUAUGGUUGUGCACAGUAUACUAGAUAUGGAGGUACAGGAGAAAAGUAUAAUAGAUUUUGGGAGUGAUUAUGUGAAGCUUGGGCAUGAACUUAGGUUUUUGCCUGAGAGUGACGACGACGGGAUCUUCUUGACCAUUCCAACUACAAUAGCAGAUGCAUCUUCCUUAUUCUUUGUCUCCCCAACACUUCCUGAACCCUUUUAAGUUACUUGAGUAGUUACUUUUAAUGUUGCAAAACUCACAAUGCGACCCAUCUUAAUUCCCUCUUCUAUCAUCUCCCCCAUUUUAAGGACCUCAAUAAAUGACUUGCCCAAUGCAGAUAACAAGUGUUGAUAAUAUGUUUCAUCUUGCGCUUGAAUAAACACCUCCACUAUUUCUCUUUCUUUCAUUGGUGGUUUCACUCUAGCAGCUUGUUCGCGCUAUAUGAUCGCAUACUCCCUGAAGCUCUCAGUAUUCUUCUUCUUCAUACUAGUUAGGGAUUUUUCAUCAGGGAUCAACUCCACAUUGUAUUAAAAUUGUUGGACAAAUUCAUUAGCUAAGUCAUCUCAACUAAUCCAUUUAUCGAUGUCUUGGUCAACAAAUAAUUCUGAAGCUAGGCCUGAAAGACUCUCCCCGAAAUAAGCCAUGAGUAGUUCUUCCUUCCCUCCAGCGCCUCUUAAUUGGUUAUAAUAGCGCCUCAAAUGUGCCACUGGGUCCCCAUGUCCGUCAUAUUUCUCAAACUUUGGCAUUUUAAAGCCAGGAGGAAGGUUGACACCUGGAAACAUGCAUAAGUCCUUAUAUGAGACACUUUUGUAACCCCCAAGUCCUUGUAAGUUCUUCAUAGCCAGUUCCAAACUUCUUAAUUUUCUGGUCAUUUCCUCUUGUUCUUCUGUCAUAACUGGCUUCUUAGUGUUAGGAGGAAAUUCAGGCGGGUAAGUGCCACCAUAAAGACCAGUCAACUUGAAUGUAGGCUCGAAAGUGUAAUGCUGAUUACCAGUAAUAUUCAAUGCAGACUCUCUUGUAGAGUAGGGAGGCACAACUUGUGGAUGAACAUCAAAAGUAGGAGAUUCAGGUGGGGGUGGCGCCGCAAAAGCAUGAACAACAGGUGGGGCCGAGUAUGUGGUAGUCUUGGAUUGGGUAGUAAGGAAAUGAACAUUGGAAGUGGUUGGAUAUAGUUGCCCCGGAGUCGAUCCUGAUGCAUGUUGUGGCAUGUCAACAAAAAUAGGAAAUUGUGCAUGUGACAUGGGAGGCAAGCUAGAAAGAUACUCUAGAUUAUCAGUGGGAACUGGAGGAGGCAGCAACCCAUUAGCCCAAGCUCGAUGCAUUUCUAUCAUUUGCUGCCUUAAUUUCCGAAUCUCUUCAUUAGCUCUUAAAUUCUCAUUCCCGAACUCCCUAUCUAUUAGUGACAACAAACUCGGUAUCCUUAUUGGCCAUAAAUUUCUCGAUGACUUGGUACAAUACGGAGGACCAGCCAAAAUGCCACAAACCAACCACCUUAAACAAACUGAACAAGAGAUAACCAAUGUGUUAGAAUUCAACAUUUUUUUUCAAAAACUUUUUUUUAUUUUUAUUGACAAGGUCACCGAAUCCGAGAAGGGCACCUACGUAUCUCACCUCCGAGAGAGGAGAAUCAGGUGUGCGUCGUUCGUGAAGUCUUGCCAAAAUGGCCAAAUAAACUAAACUGUUUUUCUUUUUAUUUUUCUUGAAAUUUUAAGAAGAAAAGUAAAAUGACAAAUUGUCAAAAGAAUAGAUGAAAAUCUUUUUGAAUUUUUCGGCUUUAAUAACCUAUACAAAAUGAAACCUAUGAUUACAAAAGAAACUCUUUUUGGGUUUUCAAUUUUGCAUUUCAUACGAAAAUGAAACUUGAACCUAUUAAAGGAAAAUCUUUUUUAGUUUUCUUAUAAAGAUGUAUAUGAAACACCUACUCUAAAUGAAGAGUGAAAAAAAUCUUUUUGAAUUUUUAAAUUUUUGAAUAAGAUCCUUGAACUAGCAAUAGGCUGCCUACAGAUCUCAUAUCCCGAAAGAGGAGAAUCAGGGGUGCGUAGUUUAUCUAGAUUGGACAAAUAAAGAUUAGACAAAUGAUUGAACCCUAACCUAAGAGACACGGCCACAAACAGACAACAAACAAUGUUAAAAAAUCUUUUUGGGUUUUCCAAAUUGUACUUCACAUAAAACUGACACCAAUAACAGGGAAAGAAAAAUCUUUUUGAUAUUUUCGUUAUAUGAAAUGUAUAAAACUUCUAUCAUUUUUUUAAAAAACUCCUAAAAAAAAUCUUUUUGAUUGAAUUUUUGAAUUUCGAAUAUUUACUAAAGAAGACAAAGGAAAAUCUUUUUGAUGCUUUUUUUUUACAAAUGAGUGCAUAAAUAAAAAUUUUUUUUGAAUUUUGAAAAACAAAAGCCAUAAAGAACUGUAAAACUACAACACUCUCUUUUUCUUUUCAAUCUUACUUGUUCUUUCUUUUUCCUCUUUUUUUUCUUUCUUUUUUUUUUUCAAAUAUUUUGUCUACACACUUUACUUCUAACACAUCCUUUCCCCAUAUCAAUCUAUCGAAUGACCACAUUACCCUCAGAGAUGCAAACAUUUAGCACGUAGAGAUGCUUUAGAGGUGAGUCUCCUACAAAGGGUCACGCGGGUUUCGCUAGGUUUCAAUAUGAUGCACAUAAGCAUGACCUAAAGGCUGACCUACGUUGGGGUUCACUAACAAGGCUUUUUGAGGGAGCGUAUGGUCGAUAGUGGCUGCAAAAGUUUUCCACCCACUCCAUACAUCCGACGGCUCCCCCUCCUAAAAUAAGGGUGACUCAACUAGAGUUCAUAUACACGACGUGCACUACGAGGCUUGUUGUAGAAAGAAUUGACUCGAGUUAUGCAAAUGAUGCUAGAUAUAAAGCAGUAACACAUAAAAAACUGUAAACAAUGAGCCUGUAGGCACACAAUAAUGAUAAAACAAUAACACAAAACGAAAACACAAACAAUGUUUAUACACUCAAAAUGUCAAAUAAAGCCGAUAUAACUCCAAAAAUAAGCUCGAAUUCUAAAAAAUGUCCAGCAGAGUCGCCAGAGCUGUCACACCCCUUUUUUAACCUAAAAGAUUAUGAUUUAAGUUUGAAAGGGUUUUCAUUAUUAAAGUGACAAAAUGAAAAAGUUUGUUUCGAAAAAAGAUUAUUUACAUUUUUUAUUCAGAGUCUCCACUUGACAUAAUUCGGUGUGCCAAGUCACCUUUGAAAGAUCCUUUUCAAAAUGGUUUGACUCUUUUAAACUGGUUUGUGAACAGAGAUUCUGGCUAAGGAAUUCUAUUGAGCAAAGGGAAGGUGUUAGGAACCCCCCAAUCUCGUGGUUCAACCACGGUCGCUUGGUAGAGCGUAUCAGCUAAUUUUGACAUUAUAAAUGUAUAAACCACAGAAAACACAUAAAACAAUCAAUCAAAUGCAUGAAUCAAAACAAACCCAAAAUAUAGUGUUCAGUCCAAUUAUACAGUCCAAAAUUUAAAAAAAUAUGCAAAAAAUAAAUCCUAUUCUAAUCUACACUAAUCCUAACUAUGCUCCUGUGCUUUACCCGAUGCCUCGGGCCUUGAUCACGAACCUCCUUCGAAGACAUAAUACGUCAGGGAAUUUCCCGAUGAGUAAAAAUAUGAAACCUUGGGGCAUUCCCAACUAAAUGAAUACACUUGAAUCAAAUGCGAUAAACUAGAAAGAAAACAUUCACACACACUUUCAAAUAUUCAACCAAAUAUUCCAUGUCCAAACUUUCAACGAAAACGCUUGUUCCUAAAUUUUGUCUACCCGAUCCUAUAUGUCAAUCCAUUUCAACAUAUCAUAAUCCCGUUCUGACCAUAUUCAUGCUCAUUCCGAAAACAACAAUAAACCAAAGUUAAUCUAAAUUUACUAUUUUAUCAAAUUCAAUUCCGCCCCCAAAUUUAUUUUUCAACAUGAUUAAAUUACUUUCGAUACGCAAUCCACCAAUCAAGUUUUCAUAUCCAAAUCUAAUAAUAACCAACACGCAAUAAAGAUUUAAACAUACCAAACACAUAAGUCAGUCACAAUUAUGUAAAAUUAAAUAUUAAAGAAAGAGGAGAUGGGAUUGGACCUCACUUUUAUUAUAAUUCCAAAUUUGUUGACAAGAUACCAUCGGAAUACCCAAAUUUAACCUCAAUCAGUAAUCGCACUCGACUAUGAGCGAACUCAAUCGCGAAGAGAAAACCCAAAAUCCAAUCCGAAACUCCGAUGAGCUAAAAAUGACAAAAGCCAACAAGAAGAGUCGGAUUUUGGAAAUCCCUGUAGAACAAGUGAACUAUACACCGAUGACGUCGAUUCCGGCAAAAAAUUCAUCGGAUAUUCUUGAGAAACGACUGGAUUCUCACCGGUAUACUAUUUUGACCAACUCUUGGACUGUUUUCAAUCCAUUUUUUAUCCCUUUUCUCACUGUUUCAACCUUUUCAAUCUCCUCCUUUCCAAUUUCUGGGUAUACCUCUAGCUCCGGGGGGUUAUGUGUGUAUAUGGUUUUUGUCAGUAGAAAAAUGGAAGAUGAAUGGGGAAUCUCGUGUGUAAUUUUUUUUUCUAGAAGAAAAAAAAUGAGGUUAUUUUUUUUUAUAUUUUCCUUUUCCAGUGAGGUCUAUUGAAUUUGGAGUGAUGUGCGUGUAUCUAUUUUUGUGGGUGGUAUGUGGGACACGUAAGUGGAGGUCGUCUGGUCCCUGGAGGUCUGUGAAGUG
rnacentral:lncRNA from 1 species